rnacentral:rRNA from 1 species
AGUGAACGCUGGCGGUAGGCCUAACACAUGCAAGUCGAACGGCAGCACAGUAAGAGCUUGCUCUUACGGGUGGCGAGUGGCGGACGGGUGAGGAAUACAUCGGAAUCUACUUUUUCGUGGGGGAUAACGUAGGGAAACUUACGCUAAUACCGCAUACGACCUACGGGUGAAAGCAGGGGAUCUUCUGACCUUGCGCGAUUGAAUGAGCCGAUGUCGGAUUAGCUAGUUGGCGGGGUAAAGGCCCACCAAGGCGACGAUCCGUAGCUGGUCUGAGAGGAUGAUCAGCCACACUGGAACUGAGCCACGGUCCAGACUCCUACGGGCGGCAGCAGUGGGGAAUAUUGGACAAUGGGCGCAAGCCUGAUCCAGCCAUACCGCGUGGGUGAAGAAGGCCUUCGGGUUGUAAAGCCCUUUUGUUGGGAAAGAAAAGCAGCAGGUUAAUACCCCGCUGUUCUGACGGUACCCAAAGAAUAAGCACCGGCUAACUUCGUG